UAAAAGUGACUCCUCUUUCCUUGACAACCUCUGUACCAUUUUGCACUGCCUGAAUUUUACAAUUAGACCAAGCCCAUUGCAGUCAUUGACCUUCAUCACACUAUUUGAACACCAGUUUUCCCUGGGUUCAAAGCUGUGCACAUAUGUGUUCACAGCCUCUACACCAAAAUUGCCUCUAACAAGUCUUAUGGGACUCUAUAAACCAAUUAUUUAUAAACCUUGAGGGAAGAAGGGGAAGUGUUUCCACUGACAUCUUCUUAUCUUCUGACAAAAUAGGACAGUGGUGGGUUUCUUCAAGAAAGGUAUCAAUUCAGAUUCAUUCCCCUCCUUGUGGAAGUCUCAGGAUUUAUCAGAUGCAAAGGUAAGUCAGGUAUAAAGUCUGUAGCAACUGCUCUAAAACCAUACAGAAUCAAAUAAAAAUACGAACCUUCUUCUUUAAUGUUAUACAUAACUCUCCUACAGGUUCCUACAGUAUGUCAUGAAAGGAAACAGACCCAGAAAUGAGACCACAGCGGUUAGCACCGUUGCCAAUGGAUCUGAAAGGGAUAAAAAGAAGAGCUAGUCUGUAACACCUGCUUUCCCUCAACAUUGAUAUAAACGCUUCUGCCAACACAGUGCUGCUGCCAAGGGAUACAGGUACAACUGACCCCUGGAAAAAAGGAGUGAGAAAAUUAUUGCUCUGAGGAUUAGAGAUGCAUCAAAACCAAAUCAAAUCAAAAAGACCUACCAAAGCCCAAAUCCUCCUACAGCUGCUGGACUUCAGGGCCUUGACUCCCCACAAAAUGAAGUGUUAAUAAGACCCUGCUAUAAAAUAAAGGAUUCACCAAUAUUUCUGACAGUAAGACAUCAUGAUUUUAUCCUUCUAUUAUCUUUCAGGGACAAAUGCAGACAGCAUAUGAAAAAGCAACAUCAUGAAUGCUUUCAAUGAGAGUUAAAAUUAAUUUUCCCACAUGGAAUCCUGGCAGUUUGACUCUUAUCAACUGUGUUUUCAGAGGCAUGUAACAUCUAAAUUACUAAUUUCACAGACAAAUGGGUACCAAAAUACUUUGAGAAUAUCACCAUAAGUACUUAGAGGUUUCAUGCCCUCUCAGGGGUAACUGGAAGAACAUCUCAAAUACACCAGCCACAUUUUUCUGCUCUCUAAUAGCACCCACAUUUCCAAGCCAUACCUGUAAUCCAGCAGAAGAAGCAUGUGCAUUUUGGACAACUCCAC
rnacentral:lncRNA from 14 species